rnacentral:rRNA from 1 species
GAAACAUCUUCGGGUUGUGAGGUUAAGCGACUAAGCGUACACGGUGGAUGCCCUGGCAGUCAGAGGCGAUGAAGGACGUGCUAAUCUGCGAUAAGCGUCGGUAAGGUGAUAUGAACCGUUAUAACCGGCGAUUUCCGAAUGGGGAAACCCAGUGUGAUUCGUCACACUAUCAUUAACUGAAUCCAUAGGUUAAUGAGGCGAACCGGGGGAACUGAAACAUCUAAGUACCCCGAGGAAAAGAAAUCAACCGAGAUUCCCCCAGUAGCGGCGAGCGAACGGGGAGCAGCCCAGAGCCUGAAUCAGUGUGUGUGUUAGUGGAAGCGUCUGGAAAGGCGCGCGAUACAGGGUGACAGCCCCGUACACAAAAAUGCACAUGCUGUGAGCUCGAUGAGUAGGGCGGGACACGUGGUAUCCUGUCUGAAUAUGGGGGGACCAUCCUCCAAGGCUAAAUACUCCUGACUGACCGAUAGUGAACCAGUACCGUGAGGGAAAGGCGAAAAGAACCCCGGCGAGGGGAGUGAAAAAGAACCUGAAACCGUGUACGUACAAGCAGUGGGAGCACGCUUAGGCGUGUGACUGCGUACCUUUUGUAUAAUGGGUCAGCGACUUAUAUUCUGUAGCAAGGUUAACCGAAUAGGGGAGCCGAAGGGAAACCGAGUCUUAACUGGGCGUUAAGUUGCAGGGUAUAGACCCGAAACCCGGUGAUCUAGCCAUGGGCAGGUUGAAGGUUGGGUAACACUAACUGGAGGACCGAACCGACUAAUGUUGAAAAAUUAGCGGAUGACUUGUGGCUGGGGGUGAAAGGCCAAUCAAACCGGGAGAUAGCUGGUUCUCCCCGAAAGCUAUUUAGGUAGCGCCUCGUGAAUUCAUCUCCGGGGGUAGAGCACUGUUUCGGCAAGGGGGUCAUCCCGACUUACCAACCCGAUGCAAACUACGAAUACCGGAGAAUGUUAUCACGGGAGACACACGGCGGGUGCUAACGUCCGUCGUGAAGAGGGAAACAACCCAGACCGCCAGCUAAGGUCCCAAAGUCAUGGUUAAGUGGGAAACGAUGUGGGAAGGCCCAGACAGCCAGGAUGUUGGCUUAGAAGCAGCCAUCAUUUAAAGAAAGCGUAAUAGCUCACUGGUCGAGUCGGCCUGCGCGGAAGAUGUAACGGGGCUAAACCAUGCACCGAAGCUGCGGCAGCGACGCUUAUGCGUUGUUGGGUAGGGGAGCGUUCUGUAAGCCUGCGAAGGUGUGCUGUGAGGCAUGCUGGAGGUAUCAGAAGUGCGAAUGCUGACAUAAGUAACGAUAAAGCGGGUGAAAAGCCCGCUCGCCGGAAGACCAAGGGUUCCUGUCCAACGUUAAUCGGGGCAGGGUGAGUCGACCCCUAAGGCGAGGCCGAAAGGCGUAGUCGAUGGGAAACAGGUUAAUAUUCCUGUACUUGGUGUUACUGCGAAGGGGGGACGGAGAAGGCUAUGUUGGCCGGGCGACGGUUGUCCCGGUUUAAGCGUGUAGGCUGGUUUUCCAGGCAAAUCCGGAAAAUCAAGGCUGAGGCGUGAUGACGAGGCACUACGGUGCUGAAGCAACAAAUGCCCUGCUUCCAGGAAAAGCCUCUAAGCAUCAGGUAACAUCAAAUCGUACCCCAAACCGACACAGGUGGUCAGGUAGAGAAUACCAAGGCGCUUGAGAGAACUCGGGUGAAGGAACUAGGCAAAAUGGUGCCGUAACUUCGGGAGAAGGCACGCUGAUAUGUAGGUGAAGUCCCUCGCGGAUGGAGCUGAAAUCAGUCGAAGAUACCAGCUGGCUGCAACUGUUUAUUAAAAACACAGCACUGUGCAAACACGAAAGUGGACGUAUACGGUGUGACGCCUGCCCGGUGCCGGAAGGUUAAUUGAUGGGGUUAGCGCAAGCGAAGCUCUUGAUCGAAGCCCCGGUAAACGGCGGCCGUAACUAUAACGGUCCUAAGGUAGCGAAAUUCCUUGUCGGGUAAGUUCCGACCUGCACGAAUGGCGUAAUGAUGGCCAGGCUGUCUCCACCCGAGACUCAGUGAAAUUGAACUCGCUGUGAAGAUGCAGUGUACCCGCGGCAAGACGGAAAGACCCCGUGAACCUUUACUAUAGCUUGACACUGAACAUUGAGCCUUGAUGUGUAGGAUAGGUGGGAGGCUUUGAAGUGUGGACGCCAGUCUGCAUGGAGCCGACCUUGAAAUACCACCCUUUAAUGUUUGAUGUUCUAACGUUGACCCGUAAUCCGGGUUGCGGACAGUGUCUGGUGGGUAGUUUGACUGGGGCGGUCUCCUCCUAAAGAGUAACGGAGGAGCACGAAGGUUGGCUAAUCCUGGUCGGACAUCAGGAGGUUAGUGCAAUGGCAUAAGCCAGCUUGACUGCGAGCGUGACGGCGCGAGCAGGUGCGAAAGCAGGUCAUAGUGAUCCGGUGGUUCUGAAUGGAAGGGCCAUCGCUCAACGGAUAAAAGGUACUCCGGGGAUAACAGGCUGAUACCGCCCAAGAGUUCAUAUCGACGGCGGUGUUUGGCACCUCGAUGUCGGCUCAUCACAUCCUGGGGCUGAAGUAGGUCCCAAGGGUAUGGCUGUUCGCCAUUUAAAGUGGUACGCGAGCUGGGUUUAGAACGUCGUGAGACAGUUCGGUCCCUAUCUGCCGUGGGCGCUGGAGAAUUGAGGGGGGCUGCUCCUAGUACGAGAGGACCGGAGUGGACGCAUCACUGGUGUUCGGGUUGUCAUGCCAAUGGCACUGCCCGGUAGCUAAAUGCGGAAGAGAUAAGUGCUGAAAGCAUCUAAGCACGAAACUUGCCCCGAGAUGAGUUCUCCCUGACUCCUUGAGAGUCCUGAAGGAACGUUGAAGACGACGACGUUGAUAGGCCGGAUGUGUAAGCGCAGCGAUGCGUUGAGCUAACCGGUACUAAUGAACCGUGAGGCUUAACCUU